UACGUAGGGGGCAAGCGUUAUCCGGAUUUACUGGGUGUAAAGGGAGCGUAGACGGCGAUGCAAGUCUGAAGUGAAAGGCGGGGGCCCAACCCCCGGACUGCUUUGGAAACUGUAUGGCUGGAGUGCAGGAGAGGUAAGUGGAAUUCCUAGUGUAGCGGUGAAAUGCGUAGAUAUUAGGAGGAACACCAGUGGCGAAGGCGGCUUACUGGACUGUAACUGACGUUUGAGGCUCGAAAGCGUGGGUGAUCGAACGAAGG
rnacentral:rRNA from 1 species